rnacentral:lncRNA from 1 species
GGCAAUGGGAAUGCACGUUGCAUAGGUAGUAGCACGUCUUGAAAUAGCUUCGGCUAGGCACUGGCGUUGACCAAUGGAUUAGAGAGAUAACGGUCAAGUAACAACGGACGCAAUAGCAAUAGACAUAGGAAUUUUUAUUUCUUUCCAUCAAGUUCCAAUGCCAUAUUCCUCUGGCUGUUUCAACUAUCCAGGGUGCUCAGAAUCGACUCGGAAACCGGACGCGGAGACGUUUUACACCGGAAAUUGAAAAUCUCUUUCAUUCGCACAGGAAAGUGGGGGAAUCCUGGCGAGACCAAAUCACAAUGAAACGAUCAGGAAAUCGGCAUUAAACCAACGUUUUGGAGCGGAUUGACAAGUUGUUUUUUUAAACAAUCUACGUACGCGAGAUUCUAUUUCUUCAUUCGCCUGUCUUCAAUGAAUGCCUCAGUCGACGAGGGAGGCUGUAAUAAUAAAUCUCUACAUGAUUCAACAAGGAAUUGAGUCUAGUAUCCAUGCCACAUCCGUAUACGUAGGCCUACGUACUAGAUGCUACAGUGCUUACUUUGAGCAGAAAAAGAGGGAGGCAGCCAAGAAGCGGGUGGAUGGCUGCAUCAGGAGACUAGCGACGGUUAAAGACGAAGCACUGAAGUUUUUUGCGGUCAUCAAACAGAUCUGCGCCUAUCAAAGUCUUUCAAGCGUCAAUAUCUUUCAGUCCUUUGAAAGACCUUUGAAGAUCCUCGGCGGCGCCAUUUUCUCCCCACCCAAGCCUUCCACCUUCUGCCGCGUCCCCCUCUUUUUUUUUUUUUUUUUUUUUCCCUUUUUUUUCUUUCUCUUGGGUCUCUUCACAAGGCAAUUGCCCAUACACACCAAAUCAAUCCGCAUCAAAACAUCCAGCGACAUCUUUUUCAUCCACCCUCCACGCUCAUUUCUUUCUCUUACAACCGAGCGCGUCCUCUUUUUUUUCAUUUUAUUAUUACUUUCCUUGUUCUUCUUCUUUACGGCCGAUGGAUACCUUUCGCAGCCGUACUUACCGACAUGUCAUACUCGUCUCAUUAGCAUGGCGCUCUUUUUUCUCUCUAUGUGUCCUUCUGUCUCGCCCGCACAAUGUCUGUCCAUGGCUCCAUGCAAUCAGUCUAUCUUUAGGCUUUUCUCUAAUUAUAAUUUGAUUCGUGUAUGGCUUGACAUUGAACACGGAAGUUAAAAUUGCA